CUCCCACCCGUGUUUAUUGUACCUUGUUGCUUCGGCGGGCCCGCCGUUUUCGAACGGCCGCCGGGGAGGCCUUGCGCCCCCGGGCCCGCGCCCGCCGAAGACCCCAACAUGAACUCUGUUCUGAAAGUAUGCAGUCUGAGUUUGAUUACCAUAAUCAAUUAAAACUUUCAACAACGGAUCUCUUGGUUCCGGCAUCGAUGAAGAACGCAGCGAAAUGCGAUAAGUAAUGUGAAUUGCAGAAUUCAGUGAAUCAUCGAGUCUUUGAACGCACAUUGCGCCCCCUGGUAUUCCGGGGGGCAUGCCUGUCCGAGCGUCAUUGCUGCCCUCAAGCACGGCUUGUGUGUUGGGCCCCCGUCCCCGGUUCUCCCCGGGGACGGGCCCGAAAGGCAGCGGCGGCACCGCGUCCGAUCCUCGAGCGUAUGGGGCUUUGUCACCCGCUCUGUAGGCCCGGCCGGCGCCAGCCGACACCCCAACUUUAUUUUCUAAGGUUGACCUCGGAUCAGGUAGGGAUACCCGCUGAACUUAAGCAUAUCAAUAAGCGGAGG
rnacentral:rRNA from 1 species